CACAGUGGCAAAAAACCACAUUUGCUCCGUGGCCGCGUGACAAAAAUUGAUGGCUGAGUUUUCAUCUCUCGCGGCCACGUAGGAUAC
ensembl:ncRNA C48D1.13 ncRNA